ACUCCUUUGCCUUUUGCAGCCUCGGUGACUCUGCCUCUCUGUUCCAGGGGCCGAGGGAAACCGGUUCUAACACCCCAACGCGUUGGGAACUGCUUCUUUCUUCCCCACGAGUCUCCCCUGAGAAAUCACUUGUUGCGUGAAUUUUGUGCCCGAGAGUAGCAAUCCCGACUUCCCAGCUGCAGAGAGCAUUGUGUAUUUCAUGGGGAAAGUGCCCCGGGCGAGCGCCCAGAACAACAGCAGGUUUUGGUCAUCAAUUUGCAAGCCAUUUCUUAGGGUUUGUUUGUUUGUUUUUUAAGUUCAGCACAGGCUCUGCUCAUCUUACGUAUUUUUACAGCCUAUUCGUACCCUCAGAACAGAACUCAUUUUGUGUAAGAUACAGAAGUAACAUCCAUGUGAAUUUAAGGCAUUUUCUGGGCAUCUUUUAGUAUACAGCAAAUGCCACGCAAAAUGACUUAUUCUAAACGCCAGAGCUCCCACAGACUGCCCCCUACUGGCUGCCACAGCUCCCUGAAAUAGAAUUUUUUGAUACCUUCUUGUUUGAAGAAUCUCCAGCUGCUCUUGAUGAUAGCCUAAGAAGACGGCAUGCUGUUUCCUCUCGAUGCCAAGCCAGGCCCACUCAGAACCUCGGAUCUCAGUCCUUCAUGGAGACCGGGUCCCAGCAGGAAUGGCAGUGCAGGAAAUUGGCACCCAGAUGGUUCCUCCACGUGAAGCCGUCUCGGGCUAUGGGCUGACAAGAGAACACCUGGUAGCUAGGUUAGCCCCCCGUCAGUCACCCGGGGCAGGGCAGCAUGGUGCGGAUUCAGAGGAGGAAGUUUCUGGCAUCUUGCCUGUGCAUCACAGCUACCAUCUUUCUGCUCGUCACACUCCAGGUAGUGGUGGAGCUGGGAAAAUUUGAGAGGACGAAGUUUAAAGAUUCCGAUUUGCAAGAUGGACAUACGGAAAUGGAGGAAGUGCCUCAACCUCUGAGUCCAAUCCUUAAGAAGGAAGCACUGGCCUUGAAUAGGAAAAAAACAUCGGACGGCGACAGCUACCCCGUUAUGCUCUGGUGGUCCCCGCUGACCGGGGAGACGGGAAGGCGGGGCCAGUGUGGGGCAGACACGUGCUUCUUCACCAUCAACCGCACCUACCUGCAUCAUGACAUGACCAAAGCUGUCCUCUUCUACGGUACUGACUUUAACAUAGAUAGCUUACCUCUGCCUAGGAAAGCCCAUCACGACUGGGCCCUUUUCCAUGAAGAGUCGCCGAAAAACAAUUACAAGCUCUUUCAUAAGCCGCUCGUCACCUUGUUCAACUACACUGCCACAUUCAGCAGGCACUCCCACUUGCCACUAACCACCCAAUACUUGGAGGGCAUAGAAGUCCUGAAGUCCCUCCAAUACCUAGUUCCUCUGCAGUCCAAGAACAACCUUAGGAAAAGACUUGCUCCACUGGUGUAUGUACAGUCAGACUGUGACCCACCAUCCGAUAGGGACAGCUACGUUCGCGAGCUGAUGACUUACAUCGAGGUUGACUCCUAUGGGGAGUGUUUACGAAACAAAGAUCUCCCCCGGCAGCUGAAAAGUCCGGUCUCUAUGGAUGCCGAUGGCUUUCACAGGAUCAUUGCCCAGUACAAGUUUAUCCUUGCUUUUGAGAAUGCGGUGUGUGAUGACUACAUCACCGAGAAGUUCUGGAGACCACUGAAGCUGGGCGUAGUCCCCGUAUAUUACGGAUCCCCCAGCAUCACAGACUGGCUGCCAAGUGACAAAAGCGCUAUUCUCGUCUCCGAAUUUUCUCACCCCAGAGAGCUGGCAAGUUACAUCCGACGACUGGAUCAUGAUGACAGAUUGUACGAGGCCUAUGUAGAAUGGAAGCUGAAGGGUGAGAUCUCUAACCAGAGACUUCUGACAGCUCUCAGGGAACGGAAGUGGGGUGUGCAAGACAUCAACCAGGACAAUUACAUCGAUGCGUUUGAGUGUAUGGUGUGCACCAAGGUGUGGGAUAAUAUCAGGCUUCAGGAAAGGGGCUUCCCACCCAAAAGAUGGAAGGCAGAAGAUACUCAUCUGAGCUGCCCGGAGCCUACCACGUUUGCUUUCUCUCCUCCCCGGGCUCCACGUGGGAGCUCUUUGCGAGAGAUGUGGGUACGAAGCUUUGAACAAUCCAAGAAAGAAGCCCAGGCACUGAGGUGGCUGGUGGAUAGGAAUCAAAAUUUCUCAGCUCAGGAGUUUUGGGCCCUAGUAUUCAAGGACUAAUUUCAAAAAUAGUAUCGGAAUGACGUAGACUAGAACCUUCUAGAAGUUUAUUUUCUGGGUUGCCUUAAUCUUUGAACCUAACAGCUAUUGACUAUCCAUUAGGAUAAGAAUUAAUUGCUGCAAUACUCAUAAUAAGCCCUGUCAAAGAAUAGAUGUGAAUUACCCUUAGGGGUUGCCUCUAUAUUUUUUUAUACUAAAAAAGUAAAUAUUUUUUAUGGACACUGGUCACCUUCAGUUUACACGUCUAGACUCACGUACUUGCUGCCUUUUGUGGACAUUCACCUGAGUUAGAGCAAGCGCUUUCCUUGCACGAUGGAGGCAGGUUCUAGCUGUGGAUUCUUGGUCCUCACUGCACUCUCAACAGCGUCCUGGUAUUUGGAAGCCCGGUGUUCUCUGAUGCUGAGUGUGAACAUGAAGUGCAUUAGGACUUGGCAAUGAGAGAUCCCAUCUGUUGGUUUCCAGGGAUUGUUUAUUCCUGCUCCCCAGGAGAGGAGAAAAUUCCACUGUCAACACUGGGUGAUUUCCAGCAAGAGAAAGAACCCUGACUUGAGGACUGGCAAGAGCCAUGGUGAACCACAGGUGCAAGCAGUUCUGCUCUGGCCGGUCGACAUCUGUUCACCUUAAAUACAGAGGCUGGGCUGAGUCAAUAUUUCCUUAGCCUCCGUGCCUCAAAAAAGGGGAAGAGCUUUUUCUCAUGAGCUGCAUUCAGGCAUCGUGUGUAUAGUUCACACAUCGUUAAUAAGAAGACUCAUUUCACCAUUGAA